CAUAAACACCACCACCACCUCCACGAGCUCAGGGCACCAAACGGGGGGCAGGGGCUCCGAGCCCUCGGAGGAAGCCCGCCUGCCCAGAUGUAGGUUAGGCAGCUCGAGCCAAACAAUAAACACGCAUCCAGGGCACGGGGAGAGAGAGGACACAGCAGAGAGGUAGAGCUUUCCAGCUAGGCUCCCAGCACACUGGCAAAGCCGAGUUUGCUUCUUGCAAGUUUCUGCUCUCAUAUUAAAAAGCCCGUGAGCCCCGGGUGCCUUCGGAUCUUCUUUGCGGGUGCUGUUGUUGGGUGUUAUUUAUUAUUAUUCUUUUAAAGCUGGGCUGCUUCCAGCAUUUGAAGGGGGACUUUGAUUAGGUGGUAACCUUCUGGAAGAAGCGUAAUUUGGGGUCGUAGAUGGUGAUCUUUCUGCCCCCUCCUUUGCCCUCCUCUCCCCGUGGCCCCCUCCCGCGGGCAGAUGUAUUUUAUGUUCUCAUCCUUCCAAAUCCCGCUGCUCCCCCCCCCUCACGUUCUGCUCUAGGAUCACAGACAGGAUUGGGGCUCUGUUCUCUUGUUCCUUUUCAGGACUGUAAGUGGUAGCUUUGCUCUUUUACUGUUUUUGUUGACUCUUGUGAAAUAGAUUUCAUGUUGUAAUGAAGGGGGAGGGGGGACGACAAAUCACGGGGACAAAUAAAUUCAUCUCUAUUUUUGGUUUCUCUUGGUUUUCCUGUGAAUCAAGGGCAUUGUAAAAAAAAAAAAAGAGAGAGAAAAAAAAUCAGCUGGGAGAGAACAGAGAACAGUGAGAGGGAAUUCUCCAGGCCUGCUUGGCCGGGAUCAAGAAGGCUGAGCAUGGAUUGGGAACAGACCGUGCUCAUGGGCCGCGCGGCCCAGCCUGGCCCAGCCCGGCCCAGCCCAGCUCAGCCCCGAAGGGCUGUGCACUUUACAUCAGAUUUAUGGGAGGGGGCAUACAGCUACGACUUAUUUUUUUAAGCCAACUCGCUGCCCAAGUGCACUGUGAGGCCUGGCUUGUUUUUGUUCUUAGCUGACAGUUUCUCUAUUUAAAUGUGGUUGGGGUUUUUCCCCUCCUACUCAUCCCUAGAUGAAGGAGAUUCUUCCUUGAUUUCUGUCUCUGUUUCUCUCUACAUAUGGCAACUAAUGAUAUUUCAGAUUCCUCAACACUUAAUCCCAAAUGUUCAGACCAGAAGUCCCCAUAAGAGGCCGAGGUGUACCCUUCAGCUGAUUCCAAGUCCUAUUCCUUCAGGCAACUCAUUGAAAAACAGAAAUCUCUGAAGAAACCCUCCCAACCUAGUUUUCCCCAGUGCAUUAAUUUUCCAAAACUUCCCAGGACUUAUUUAUGAAAAGGAAAUGCAUGAUUCUUCUUGGAGUGGAUACAAAGCCAGCCUCUGAGUCAGUGAGCCUUGGGACCCAGACCUGCUUCUGACACAUACUGACUGGAUGACCCUGGGCAAGUCACUUAGUGACUCUCAUUGCCCCAGGCAGUCCAUAAGACUAUAAGUUGUGGAGCAAGUACCAACCUGAACUGGAGAUGUUUUUGAUUCCUUUCUGAUCAAUCAUCAUUAGGCAGAGGCCACUAACACAUCUCCCCUCAGAUCUAUACUCAAGGAAGCACCAGUUCCACCAGUCAAUGCCCACUCAAGAGGAAUUCCUGCCUCCACAGAAUGCUGGGCUGAAUGUUCUAUGUCCUUUGGACAUUGAUCCUCAGAAGACAUGGAGAGGACUUAGGGCCCUUGCCAGUUGUCCUCCCUUGGACAUCCACCUUAUCAAUGCCCUUAAACCCAACUAUGCCCAGAACUAAACACCACACUCUAGAUGAUAUUUGACAGGGACAGGAUACAGAGGGACUUUCAUCUCCUUACUCCUGGGAACUCUGCCUCUAUUAAUGCAAGCCGAGAUGGCUACAGCUUUUGUGACUGCUGUAUCAUACUACUGGCUGCUUGCAGUUCACUGAAAGUCCCCAGAUCUUUUUCAGGUAAACUCACUGUCUACCUCUCCCUAACACAUUUUGGACUUGCAUCACUGGUUGUUUGGUACUCAAAUGGAAGACUUUAUAUUCAUUCCUAUUGAAUUGCAUAUUGUUAAAUUCAGUCCAGUGCUCCACCUUGUCAAGAACCUUUCAGAUCCUGACUCUGGUGUCUCUGUAUCUUCAGCUUUGCAUCAGCCUGCAGAUCAGAUGAACAUGCCAUCUAAGCCUUUGUACGAGGCAUUGCUAAAGUUGUGGCACAGCACGGAGCCAAACGCGGAUGCCUGGGGCACUUCCUGCCAUGUUAACAUUGAACCAGAACUAGAACUCGUUAGGUCCCAUCCUCCAACCAGAUCUGCCUCCACCUCUUAUUAUUAUCAUCUGGUGCACGUGUCUUCAUAUGAUCUUGCAGAAUGGCAUGAGAAGGAACUACUUUAGCAAAAGUCUGCUUCGAAUCUUGGUAAAUAGUACCUUGCAAUCAGGGUAGUUAAGUAGAUCUUAAUAAACGUGCUCAUACAUUUGGGUUUCUCAGAGAUCAACAUGAACAGUUACCCAUGAUAAAUUUUAUUAUAAGGCAAACAAUCCUCCCCGUCUAGCUCUGUUUUGUCAAUUCAAAAUUUUGCAUAUGGUAAAAGCCAGACUAUUGUGCAAUCCAGCUGAGAGAAUGAAUGGUAAGAAGACUCAUGAGGGAACCUGCUCCCAAUCUCCUGAUCAGUGGAGAAGGCCCUGUGUUCUUCUUCCAUCUACACCGACUCUCCUGAACCAUAGGCUAAAUAGAACUUCUUUUACAUGGACCAAAAAUGUUGCUGGAGGGGACAAGGUCAGAGAGCAGUCAUGUCAUGGGAGGGGAAUUGCCAGGUUCUCUGGAGAGUUCAUUUAUCCUGUGCUCUAGGAAGGUGGUGCCAAGGAAUGAAAUCUGCUCUGCUCCCAGCUGAAUAUCAGGACCCUGAGACAAAGGCCUGCUGGCCCCUUGAUAGUUUAAUGCUCACAUGUGGACAAUUAGUCCCUUCAUCAGAACCACCUCCUGCCUCUUCCUGGUUGCCAUGGAAUGCAGUGUGUAAUGUCUGGAUUCCUAUAAUGCAGCCUGACAUUGUGUUAGCUGAU